rnacentral:lncRNA from 1 species
CUUAGGACUACUCUGUGGGUCAGGAAUUCAGGAAGGCUUCAUUGGGUGAUUUGUCUUUGACCUAUGUGGUAAUAACUGGGAUGGCUGGGGCCAGAGGAUCCGCUUAGAAGAUAGCUUCUUCACUCAUACCCAUAGCCCCUCAGUGUUCUGUGGCCUCUCUCUCUUUACCUGGCAUCCUUAGGUUGCCUGCAGGUGGCUUGAGUUUCUCUCAGUGUGGUGGUUUCAGGGCAGUCAAUUUGCUUACAUGGAAGCUGACUUUCUCAGUGGGACCAUUUCAAGAGUGAUUGUUCUAAGAGAUCAAGGCAGAAGUUUCAAGGCUUUAUAUGAACUGGCUUCAGAAAUCACAUAGUAUCAUUUCUGGUACACUCUGUUGGUUACACAGGGUCAACUCAAAUUCACUAUGGGAAGGGAUGACAAAAGGAAGAGAGUACAGGGAGGCAUGGUUCAUUGGAAGUUAUUUUGGAGAUCAGCUAUCAUAGCAAUUGAUUGCCCACGAUUUUCUGUUUUUUGUUUUUUUUCCUUAAAUCUCCUGACCUACUGAAAUUUGCCAGGUUAAAAUCUCAGAGCUUACUGACCCUGGGAAAUGCUAUCCAAAGAGAUCAUGUAGAGCUGGUAUCAGAGGAUUUUUCAAGGUUAUUUUAGGAGCUGGUGCAUCCUGACAUUCAAAGAAUACACACAUUUCUUUUCACUAAGUUCUCAUAUAAAUGCCAUGACAGGCAGUGAGAUAGACUUAGAGUAUUCCUGGCCUCAGGAGGUGGGACUUCCAUGAGGAACUGCUAUCUUAACCUCUAUCCUGUUCACUGCCUCUCCACAAAGGAGAAAGGGUCUAAGAUUUUAAAUAUGUGCCAGGCACACACUUAGCACAUACAUACAUGUUAGUGGUGAAUCCUCCCAAAGACCGGUGAGAUAGACUGUAUUAUACUCAUUUCAUAAUUGAAGAACCUCUGGUUCUGCUAAGCCACUAGCCUGAUGUCACACAGCAGGUAAGUGGCAACCCUGAGCUUUAAACCUAAAUCUUCUGGUUUUAAAGCACAUUGUUCUUCUACAGCACAAGAAACUGAACUGAUGUAGCAUUAUUCUGUACUUUAUUAAGGUUCAAAUUUCACUGAGCAUAUAACUGUAUACUAACUACUGUCGAAAUAUAUUUUGAAUUAGAAAUGUACAUACCUGUAAGUCUCAAAAAAAUUCUAUCAGCUUUGGCCUGGGCUCUCCAGAGUGCUCUUGGAGAUGUGCAACACUUUCCAAUUAGCAUUCUCUUUGGCCUGAUGGAUGAGGAGAAUGGGGAUGGUCAGCUAUCUCUUUUAUCCAAAUAUGAGGUCCCCAGUGUUAGAGGUCUCACUCUGGCUUUCAGUGGGGCAAAUGUUCAUGAGCACACUACCGUUGAGCAUGGCUUGCUUAGUGAGCCCAUAGGAAAUCAGGAAAUUCACAAUGAUAAAGAAUGAUGGAAUAACUGAGAUGCAUGGUAUUUUUCUUAGACCUCUUAAGAGACUGGCAACAAAUUGGGGCUUGAUGGAAAUUAAUUUACAUGAGUCAAGAAAAACCAGAGGACAGGUAGUAGGAUUGAUAAUGUCAAAGUAGGAGGAGAAGAGGAAGAAUCAUAUAUUAAAGGAGAGGUGAGAAAUGGCCAUACAUUGCAAUUGGCUCAAGGCAGAGAAAAGUUAAUUCUACACUUUAUAAUAGCACUACCAAUUAUUCACUGUCGGUACUAAGAAAUAUUUGUCAGCUCUCAACUUGUAAGUGGAGAUAAAUCUUACAUGUUCAGUUGUGUCAGGUUAUCAUCUGGUCUACACUAAUUGAAUUUGUAAUAGACCAGCCUGAGUCCUGACUCUCCACAAAGCUUCUCCUGACUACUCCCUCACGUGCUGAUUCAUGAACUUACGUCGUUACCCUACGGAGCUUUAUCUGAUUAAUUCACUAGAUUAUGAGUCUUGAGGCAACAGUUCUUUCACUAUACUUUUCCACCUCCCUACCCUUGCUCAACAUGUACACAUACACACUCACAUGCUCAUACACACACACUCACACACACAUUCACACUCACACAAUAUACUCACACACUCACACACCACACACUCACAGGCACAUACCCUUUUCUUCCAGCACAGGCCUAAAUCCUUAGGAAGCACAUAAUAAACACUGGAUGAAAGAACUGGGUUCCACACACUCAAAAACAUUUAAUGCAGAACAAUGCAUAGCCGUUAACUAAUUCAUCGAUGAUGCCAGUCUAAUUUCAGGUGUUAUUGCUAGGCCUGUUAAGCUUGGCCAGUUAGCUAUCAGCUCUGUUGAUGUUUGUAGCUUCUCUUAGAUGAACAUUUCCCAGAGUGAUUGCUCCGGAAUGUUACUUUGGAAUGUUCACACAUUAUAUGCAGUGUUGGGAGAUCUACAGUUCAUACUAGUAUAUUAAAUGCCCUGAGAAGACCUGCAGGAAAGGAAGCCAUUGUCUGAGUGAACAUUUUCCAAAUUAAUUUAUUUGACCAUAGGUUAUCUCUUAAGACAGCAGCACCUAUUUAUUUUCCAGGAAAGUAGUGUUUCCUGAAAUACAUUUCAGGAAAUCAUGGCCCACAAACCCCUGCUUUGAUUCUUUAUCUUCCUUGUUCUUGUGCUUGGUACUAUCUACCUCCCUGUGCCUCAGGCCCAGGGCUUACCUUCUUGCUUCUGAGUGGAUAGAAGCUCUGAGAACCUACAGAAAGAUGCCCCUUUAGGCUAACUUAGCAUUGUUUCAGGCUAGGAGGGGCCCCAGAAAUACCAUGUCCAAUCUUUCAUUUCAGAAACGAGGACAUAGAUGCAGAUGAGGAGAAGUCCAUUGAACACACUCAAGUUAGAACUGCAACUAAAACCCAGGCCUCUAAGUUCCAAAGAAAGAACAUUUCUCCCCUUCUAUUUUUCCUCCAUUCAUAGCGAAGCAGUUUCCUAGAGAGCCAGCAUUUGGGCCCUGCUGGCUUCAUUGAAAGUAGGCAGGCUCAAAAGCUGGUAGGAAGAAUUAUGAUUUCCACAGGAUAUAAUUAGUGAUUUUGAGGAGUUCAAUGCAUGUCCUGGAAAUGGAGAAGAUUGGCAACUGGAGCCCAUACUUUGGCAGAGGCUGAAUGCUGCUUCUAAAACUCCUGGAACAAUAUAGUGCAUUAGCUGGUCCGCCUCCACCUUGAAAUAAAGGCUUCUGGCUCCCAUGGGCUGGGCAAGGCAGAAAGGGAACAACUUGAUUUUCAAAUAAAGACCUUCUUUGAAAAAUUUCCCAGGGGACAUGAUUUGUGGGAUCAUAGCCCAGUGCACUUCUUCCACCAGACACCCUGGUUUUGAAGAAUUUCUUACAUUCCUUGUCCAGGGACUGUUUUUCAGGACUUGCCUUCUUUGUAAGCCCUACUGUCCGAUUAUUGAAGAUAGUCUUAAGGCUAAAGACCCUGCCCCUGUUCAGUUUGUUUUUCCCAUACACCCUGCCCAAAUUCACACAGCAUUUUAUGACUGAAUCCUCUGCAGCAAACUGUUUCCGUUUGCUUCUCAAGCUGAAUUGGCUGAUCUCCAAUUCAGAUUUUCUGAAAACUCGAUAUUGCCUUCUUUCUCUGCAGUGAGCAACUUGGUGAAGUGUUUAAAAUGAUCAUCCCUGGGCAGUGGCAGCUCCUGCAGUGCAGGCUUGGCACCGCCUCCCUCAGGGAGGGCUAAGUAAACUCCACCAGGAUCCUGUGCCCUGGGAUCCAGCAGCAGGCAUUGCCCCCUCCGGAGAGCCUGUCAUGGUGGCUCUCACUACCAGGAGAAUUUACUUAUUCAAGGUUCCCCACUUCCUUCUCCUCCUCCUUCCUCAUAAAGAGACCAGGAACCUUAGAAAAGCUUAUAUUAUUGAGGGUUAGGAAUACAUUUUGAGAGUAGAAGAAUAGGCGAUUACAAGACUGGUUUUGUUUUAGAAAUUGAGGAUUUUCUUAUAAAAAUUAGGUGCUCAUAGCCUUAUACACUGAAAGAUGUCUCCUUUCCUCCACCAUCCACCCCCUCCUCCAAACGUACCACCUCCUUUCUUCCUUUCUACCUUGUGAUCUCUGACCUGUGCAUGUGACAUGGAAUGUCAGUUUUUUUUUGCUGUCAGGCUCUGUCCAAGUGGUGGGAGACAUGAUCCUUAGUAGCUCCUGGCUUAUGUGAGCCUUAAAGUUGGAAUCUCAGAGAAAUGCAAGUGCCUUUUCUCUAAUAGUAUGAGCAAAAAUCCAGUGGAGGACUCUGAGCAGGUUUGCAUCAUAUGACACCCCAGGAGGGGGUCUAGGUGUUAUUUGGACAGGCUAAUAGUGCUACAUCACUUCCACAGUAUUAUUAGGAAACAUUUGGUGCUUGAGGGAUAGGUAGGGGCAGCAGUACAUGGGCAAGAGAAUAUUUCUGAGGGACUUUUGACUGUCAUAGGAAAUGUUGCUGUCAUAGUUCUUCAGAUUCCCCCAUGUUGCAUUCGCUCACAUUUAAAAUAUUUUCCUUUUAAUCAUCUCACAUAGAGAAUGGACCAUUUUGAAUCCGUUUUAUGUUUUCUCCUUAUAAGAAAUAGGCCCCUUGUAACCAAGGCAACUAUGAAUGGACCCAAACCUUCAAGGGUGAUUUUUCUCAUGCAACAAGAAAACAGACCUAUUAUUUUUUCUGGAAGAUUUCAGCCUCCCAUCGGGCAGUUUAAGUUCACUUCCAUGUGGCAGGUAGAGAUCCUUUCUGCUCUUUUGUCUGAAGUUUGGUCAACCAGAAAUUUGUGUUUGCCCAAGACAAGUUUUCACUCUGUUGCUCAGGCUGGAAUGCAGUGAUGCGACCACAGCUCACUGCAGCCUUGAACUCCUGAGCUCAAGCAAUGCUCCCAUUUCAGCCCCCCAAGUAGCUGGGACUACAGUCCUGAUUUAGUUACGUGGGGAGUGGCUUAAGAAAUGGGGAGAUUACAUUGGAGAAGAUGGCUUGGGGCAGGGAGUUUGAGAGCACAUUGCACCAUUUUGAAGGACCUUCCUUGGCCAGAAACGGGGCCCAGCUCUGUGCAGCCUUGAGGGCAAGACCAGGACCAGUGAGGAGACACUGACAGUCAGAGCUGUCCAAUGCUGGCUGAUGGGGAGCAUCCCAGGGUAGGGGGCUACCAGGCAAGGGCUGGCUGUUCAUUUCUGGAAAUGGUAGAGAGGAAAGGAUGUCAUCAUGCUGAGAGUUGGAAUGGUGACUAUUAACGUCCUUUCUAUGAGGUGACUCUGGCCCAUAGCAGUAGGCAUCCUGGAUAUGAGGGAAGGCAGGGGAUGUCUGCAAGGCUGGACCACAGGACAGACAUUUCUGGGGAGAGGAUUGAGGAGAGGAUUGAGGAGCAUGGUCUCUUGAAAGGUUGGCCUGGGCAAUAAUAAUUGUUUAUGGAGAUUAAACAAUAUGCUAUUUUAUAUGUAUAUUUAUACCUAUAUAUCUUGGAAUAGCACCUGGAACAUAGUAAGCACUAUAUAUAAGCAUGUGCUGCUAUUAUUGCCAUUGGUAAAGACAAUGAGAAAUAAUUAGGUGAUGAUAUGUCCUAGUUUAUGCCUGUUGUCCUGGAAUAAUAUUUUAAUAUUGUAUUUUUUGACUCUUAAGAAAGUCCUAGUUUGGGCAAUAAAUUAAAUGGUCACCCUGGCUAUGAUGGGGGGGAAAUCCACUGGUCAGUCAAUCAAGAGACCUAGCUCUGUCAAAAAAAUUCUGUGAGAAUUUGGGCUCUUAACCUCUUUGAGUCUUAGUUUCUUUAUCUUCCAAAUGGAUAUUUAGUCCAAAUCAAAUUUAAAUUCAUGCCAGCAUCCAAUUUUGGUAUGUCUACUAUAUACAGAGCACUAUUCAAAACACCUAACAUUAUGUAAAAAUCAAUAGGACAUGCAAGUGAAUGUUUGUCCUUACCAAAGCUUUCAUCUUGAUGGGAUAAAACAUGGUGGAUGAUGGGGUUAUAAAAAUGUAUAAGGCAUAGUCUUUGCACUUGAUGAUCUCGAUAUCUAAUAGGGGGCACAAGUAAAUAAACAAACAGGAAUAAUGCUAAGAGCUGAACACUCAAUGGAACGACCUGCUUGCAGAGAUGAGCUAGCCACUGCAGGUCUCCGAGCUGUUCUGACACUCAAUAAAGCUCCUCUUCAUCUUGCUCACCUUCCAUUUGUCUGCAUACCUCAUUCUUCCUGGAUGCAAGAUGAGAACUCAGGAAAAAGUGCCUCUGGCCACAGAGGUUUCAGCCAGAAAAGCAAUAACCCAAAGAUCCCAUAACGAUAGAGAUAAAAAGGACAACUUCAAAAAAUAGAGUAAAAAAUCAACCAAGAAAUAACAAUUACAAAUUUGUAUGCAUGUAAUAACCUACUCUUCAAACAUAUCACACAAUAGCUGACAAAAAUAUAAAUAAAAGUGGACAAAUACACAAUAAUAGUAGGAGAUUGUAGUAUACCUCUCUCAAGAGUGGAUAUAUGAAAUAGGUAAAAGAUUAUUGUUGCGGGAAGUCAGGGACCCCGAAUGGAGGGACUGGCUGAAGCCAUGGCAGAACAUAAAUUGUGAAGAUUACAUGGACACAUAUCACUUCCCCAAUCAAUAUCCUUGUGAUUUCCUAUGCCUGUCUUUACUUUAAUCUCUUAAUCCUGUCAUCUUCUUAAACUGAGGAGGAUGUAUGUGGCCUCAGGACCCUGUGAUGAUUGCGUUAACUGCACAAAUUGUUUGUAGAGCGUGUGUGUUUGAACAAUAUGAAAUCUGGGCACCUUGAAAAAAGAACAGGAUAAUAGCAAUGUUCAGGGAACAAGGGAGAUAACCUUAAACUCUGACCGCUGGGUUAAGUCUUACCAAACAAUUAAAGAAUCACUGCAUUUUUUCAGGUUGUACAUAAGGGACUAGCAGCUUCCACUUCAUAAUUAACAAAAUUUAAAAUUCAGUUCUUCAGUUACAGAAACCACACUUCAGGUUCUCAAUAGCUAUAAGUAGUUAGCAGUCACAGUGUGGAUUUUUAGGGCAGUGAAGGUACUCUCUAUGAUACUGUGGAUAUACGUUAUUAUAAAUUUCUCCAAACCCAUAGAAUGUAUAACUGCAGAGCUAUACAUUCAGCUCUGCAGUUUACACUCAGAGUAAACAUUAAUGUAAACUGUGGGCUCUGUGUGAUAAUGACAUGUCAAUGUAGCCUCAUCAGUUCUAAUAAAUACACCACUCUGGUGGAAGAUAUUGAUAACUGGGAGGCUAAGCAUAUGUUGGGGAAUAUGCAAUAUGCAGAUUGCAGAUUUUCAUCAUCACUGAAAAGUGUUGUAGAGCUCUAAUUUAGACUGAGAAACUGGCAAAAGCAUAGACAAAUAAACUGAUGGAAUAGGAAAUUUAGAAAUAGACCACUUAUUGAGAAAAUGUAGUUAUGACAAAUGCCAUUAUGAAUCAACUAGGCAAAAUAAUAUUGUCUCAACAAAAUUAGAUAUUCCUGUGAAAGUAUAUAAAAUCAUAUCCUAACUUUCUCCCAUACAAAUACAAAAAUUCCACACAGAAUUAAAAGCAACAUGUAAAACAUCAAAACAGUAUCAUAAAUAAUGUAAUUGUAAUACGCACAGAGUGCAUAGCAUGGUGCCUAGUGCACACUCAUUAAGUAAAUACUUAAUGAGUAACAAAAUGAAUGAGACUCCUCUAUAGCCUCUAGGAAGUCUACAACUUGCUUGGCAGCAGGCUCUCAGCCAGUGUAGAAGGUCCUUGGGGGCUGCAAAAGCCUCCAUGAGAAAGACUGCCCCAGUAGAGGCCAGAAAAUUAUAGAUGCCUAUUCAUAUUGAAAGGGCUUCCUCACCAGCAGGAUUUCUUAAUGGGAUCAACUGGUCUGGGACACUGGGCAGUCUAUCAAGGAAUCCUAAUGUCCCUGGUACACGUCAGAAGCAUGCUAGGAAUGAGUCCUGUAUCUGACUUUUUGCUUUUGCACUCAUGAACUCAAACACACACGCCAUCCAUUGCCUAGUUCCUAGCAGAAUCGGAGGAGAGAGAUUCAGGGUAAUGGGGCUGAUCUGCACAGACCUAUGCAUGCACUGAGCUCGGUCACUUCCUCUCUGAGAGCUCCUGGGCAGACAGAAGAAGCUUGACUGUUCUUUCAAAAGAACUAUCAAGACUUGAAGGUCAGUUCCUCAGAUCCUCCCUCAUGUAACAUGGUAUAGAGAUUUCCAGGAGCAGAAAAGAGCUGUGGUGAGCUUCCCAGGGGCUUGGCUGAAGAAGAGCUACAGUCUGGCUGGAGAAUGUAGCUCCAGUUCAUAUUAGCUCUUUUCCUCCUCAAACAUUUAGCAAGGGUUUAUAGAUUGCCUAGGCACUUCACCCUGUAAUCGAAGUUAUGAAAAGAAAUUAUGCAGGAAAUAAGAGAAGACAGUAUUUAGCCCCAAUUAAUGUUGACUUAUCUGCAGUCUGUACCAGACCAUAAGCUCCCUGAGGAUGGCAUUUAUACCAUUUAUCCCUGUAUUCUGCCUAGUACAUAACAAGGAACACAUCAGAAGCUUAUUAACUACUUCUUGACUAAAAGCGUAAGGAAUAUAAAGAUUAUCAUGUAAAAAAUAAGAAAAUAAUAAAGUCCUUUAUAAAUAGUUCAUUGAUUCAACCAAUGUUUUUGUAGUGCUUCUCUAUGCUCAGCUCUAGUUUAGGCACUGAUGAUAUUGCCUUAAGACUUCUCAUUAGAAAUGAGCUUUUUGGGAUCUUAGGAACAAUUCAAUUUUCAAUCUAGUAGCACCAGUUCUAAAGGCUGAAAGUCCAAGAUCAAGGUGUCGGCAUGAUUGGUUCCUUCUGAGGCCUCUCCUUAGCUUGCAGAGGGUCACCUCACUGUGUCCUUACAUGGUGUUUCCUCUCUGUGUUUGCAUCCCUGGUGUUUCCUUGGGUGUCCAAAGUUUCCUCUUCGUGAAGACACUGGGCCUUGGGGGUCUCUGUAAGAUCCUCUGUGCCACACUGUGGUUGGAGGAAGAAAGAAAGUGAGGGGAUUGAGGGACAUGCAUAUUGGUUCCUGGAGGGAGUGUGUAUUAGUUUCUUCGUGCUGCUAUAACAAAUAACCACAAACUUAGAGGCUCAAAAUAAGAUAAAUGUAUUAUCUUACAAUUCUGGAAGUUGAAGUCCUUAAAUUGAGGUGUUAACAGGAGAAAAACUCCAAAUCAUGCUGACUGAACUCAUUUUAAAUUUAUGAAUUCUAACCUCAAGUAGACUCUUAGAGCUGGAUAAUAAUAAUUUUGUUACAUCAAUAAAAUAGUAGCCUAAUAAUAUAGUCUAAUACUUUUAGCCUAAUGAUGGCCUAAUAAUUUUACUACGUUUCCCUAGUCGUCUGUUUCUCAGCCUGUAAUGUGCAUCAGAGUCACUUGGAGGGCUUAAUCAAACACUUACUGCUGAGUUUAUGAUUCAGGCAGUUGGGUGCUGAAGGUAGUUGCUGAUAGCUGAGUUGGUCUGUCCUCACUGAUGUGUCUUUCAGCAGCUGAAUUCUCAAUGUGAGAAUUGGUACAGGUUUUAUUAACUGCUCUUGAAUUUGCAAUACAGUCGUCGACUUAUGAUGAUUCAACUUAUGAUUUUUCAACUUCAUGAUGGUGCAAAAGCAAUAUGCAUUCAGUGGAAAUAAAACUUUGAGUUUCUGGUUUUGAUCUUUUCCAGUUUCCAUGCAGAAAAUAACUCUCUGGUGAUGCUGGGCAGUGGCAGCAAUCUGCAGCACCCUGUCAGCCACACAGUCACCACCACAGUUACCAAUACUUAACACUGUACUGUGUUGCCAGCAUUUUUUGGAUACUGCGUUUUCUGUUUUUGCGUCCCAUCAUGUCUACAAAAUAUCCAUUUUCAACUUAACAAUAUUUUCAACAUAUAGAUUUAUCAGGAAGUAACUCCAUGCCCAGUACUAAGCUAAAACAUGGCAAGCAUGUGAACAUUCUAUACAUAUAUAGUCUAGCUUUCAGUUGAGGACCUUGUAGCAUUGAAGCAUCUCCAUAGUAUAGUGUCUAUUCACAAUUCACAAUCCUCUCCAGUGCCCAUGAAUAUUCUCUCUUUUACAUUGCCUAUGGCAUCUUCCAAAUUUGUUAAUCACAUGCCUCCUAGUGUCAGCCCAAUCACCUGAACAUUCUUGUUCAGUGAUUUGACCAAUGGCAAGCACAUUUUCCAUGGACCUCCUAAGCCCUCUUAGGGGGACACUAAAUGCAAAGAAAGUAAAGGGUACAGAGAUUCUGGUUUCCAAGAUUCUUUCAUGCUUACUUUGCUAGAGGUUUUCUUGAGCCAAAAUGUUCACAAGGUACUGCAUACGGCUGACUUUCUAUCUAAAAUACGGAGAGAGAGAGAGAGAGAGAGAGAGAGACUAAUACCAUAAACAUAAUCUCAGAUUUGUUUCAUAAAUUCCUUCUGACUUUGGGAAGGUAUUCUGAGGACAAGCCAAAGCUAGUUAAUUUGUCUUCCUCUCUACCAUGAAACUCUUUGGCAGCCAUUUCAAGAGCGUGUCCUGACUCAGUCCUAGGAUAAGAAUUUAUGUCAAGUUGAGCUGGAUACUAUAUGAAAGUAGAAGCUCAAAGUGACAAAAGCUAUGACCCAAAUGUUCUUUGAUGUGCUUUAGCUUACAAAAUAGGCUCAAAUCCAAUUAUUGUUUGCAUAAUAGCAGGUUUACAAAAUUGUAAUUUUUUACCCAAUCAAUACUUGUGAUUCUUCAUCCCUCCUCUGGGUUAGAGUCCAUCAGAGCUGCAUUAUUAUAAUAUAAUGAUUAUUGGGUCUGGGACUUUCUGGGCCAUGCAGAGUUCAAGCCAAUGGGCCCUUUCUCAGAGGAGAGGGGCACUUUAUGCUGUGAUUGACAUCCAGAGGUGUGACUGUGUAUGCGAAAGGCUACGCAGGGAGUACUCUUGUCCACUUUGUGACGAGGAGGCCUCACUGUCAACUAAGACAACACCUUUAAUUGCUGCUUAGAAUCUAAAGUUCUUCCGGGCUUUGGUUUUUCACCUACAAUGUUGGGUGCCUUCUGUUGCUGCCGUUCUGGUUUAGUGACAGAUAAGAGGUCAUAUCCAUUUAAUGGCACAGAAAGCCACCUGACCGGUGGCAAACACACAUGUUGCCUCAUGCCUCCCAUGCCAAAUUCCCCUUUCUUCACCUGCAGUCAUCAUUUGCAAACUCUCUUUUGAUGAGGCUGUAACUUUCCAUUUGCUCUUAUGAGUUCAUUAAAUUUAAGGACUUAAAAGGUUAAAGCUGGCAGUGAACUUAGAGAUAAUUCGAACCAUGAGAAAACACGUCUAGAAGUAAAGCAGUUGCUCUAGGUUGCUCUGAGACAGGGGUGAUGCCAGGACUAGAAACAGGCUUAGGGCUCUGGUGUCAUUCUUUUCUGCCACAUCUCUCUCAGUGUAGCCUGAAGCAAGAGGAUGAGAACAGACUGGGGCAUAGCCACAUAUUGCCUCCCAAUUUGCCCUUGAAACUCAAGUCUGGCUUUAGACAGGGCAUUUCUUUUCAGAUCCAAUUUCCUCACAGUAAGCAAAAUUAACUAGUCUGUGGCCUCAACCAUACCACUGCAGUUUACUUACAGUAUGUGGAGGAAAGAAAUAAUAGCCAAAAGCAACUCCCUUCACACAGUCUCAAUUUCUCUAGAACCCUCAGUUUCAGAUUUUUCUUUCUUCAAAAUUUAUUAGGUUUAUAGCUCCAUUCAGACCUUCCCAUUUAUUGAAUGUUUGUGGUAUCAGAGAAUCUCUGCAGAUCGAAAUGUUCUCUAAUAGUUUUACUAUACUCAACCUAAGUGUAUUAUGUUGAAAAUCAGAAAGGGUUCAAAAUGAAUUACUUAAGUCAUUCCCUAUUCUCAAAGAUCUUACUUUCUAGUUUGGGACACAGGAUGCAUAAAUGUUGUAAUCAAUAUUCAAUGAGCAUUUUCUAUGUGAUAGGCACUCUUCUAGUUGCUACAGAAGGAAUUUUGAGGAUUUCAGACAGAGAAGCACAUGGACUCUAUAGGACUGGGGCAUAGAUGAAUAGUAUUGAUGACUACUAAGACAACAGUCUAUCCCAAUAUGCUGUGC